UCAAUUAUAAAAUUAAAGUAAGUUGUGUGCUAAGGUUUAUUAUAAGGUAACUAAUUUUCUCAAUGAUAGCACACCUUGGGAAAAAUAAGCUGACAAACCAUAGGCCGC